AAAACAUAGCCCCAUGACAAAGAAUGUGAGGUGAGACCUGCCCAGUGAAUUUUAAACGGCCGCUAAAGCGCUAAGGUAGCAUAAUGAUUUGCCCCUUAAUUAGGGGCUAGAAUGAAAGGUUAAACGGGUUAAAGCUUUUUUAAACACAACACUUAAAACUAAACUAUUUGUGAAAAUGCAAAUAUGGUAAUGAAAGACCAAAAGACCCUAGGAGCUAUAGUCUUCUAGAUAACCAAUCAAGAAGACUUUUAUUGGGGUAAUGUUGGAUAUUCAUCCAAAAUACAUGUUAAGUAUAUCAGAUUCUAAUCUAUUUAAGCUACCCUAGGGAUAACAGGCUAAUCUUUUUUAAAAGUCCUAAUUAACAAAAAGAACUAGCACCUCGAUGUUGGCUUAAGAGUACCUGUAGUGCAGCAACUACAGCGAAGGGCUUGUUCCGCCCGUAACUUCUUACGUGAUCUGA
rnacentral:rRNA from 1 species